GACGAACGCUGGCGGCGUGCCUAAUACAUGCAAGUAGAACGCUGAAGGAGGAGCUUGCUUCUCCGGAUGAGUUGCGAACGGGUGAGUAACGCGUAGGUAACCUGCCUGGUAGCGGGGGAUAACUAUUGGAAACGAUAGCUAAUACCGCAUAACAGUAGAUGUUGCAUGACAUUUGCUUAAAAGGUGCAAUUGCAUCACUACCAGAUGGACCUGCGUUGUAUUAGCUAGUUGGGGAGGUAACGGCUCACCAAGGCGACGAUACAUAGCCGACCUGAGAAGGUGAACGGCCCACAUGGGACUGGGACACGGCCCAGACUCCUACGGGAGGCAGCAGUAGGGAAUCUUCGGCAAUGGACGGAAGUCUGACCGAGCAACGCCGCGGGAGGGAAGAAGGGUUUCGGAUCGUAAAGCUCUGUUGUAAGAGAAGAACGAGUGUGAGAGUGGAAAGUUCACACUGUGACGGUAUCUUACCAGAAAGGGACGGCUAACUACGUG
rnacentral:rRNA from 1 species